rnacentral:rRNA from 1 species
AUUGAACGCUGGCGGCAGGCCUAACACAUGCAAGUCGGGCGAGCGGCGGACGGGUGAGUAAUGUAUGGGGAUCUGCCUGAUGGAGGGGGAUAACUACUGGAAACGGUAGCUAAUACCGCAUACCAUCAGAUGAACCCAUAUGGGAUUAGCUUGUAGGUAGGGUAACGGCUUACCUAGGCGACGAUUCCUAGCUGGCCUGAGAGGAUGAUCAGCCACACUGGGACUGAGCAACGGCCCAUACUCCUACGGGAGGCAGCAGUAGGGAAUCUUCGACAAUGGGCGAAAGUCUGACCGAGAAACGCCGCGUGAGGGAAGAAGGUUUUCGGAUCGUAAAGCACUUUUGUUAGAGAAGCGGUAUCGAACCAGAAAGCCACGGCUAACUACGUGCCAGCAGCCGCGGUAAUAC